UACGGAGGGUGCGAGCGUUGUCCGGAAUCACUGGGCGUAAAGGGCGCGUAGGCGGCCUGAUAAGUAGGGGGUGAAAUCCUGCGGCUUAACCGCAGGGCUGCCUUCUAAACUGUCGGGCUAGAGCACGGUAGAGGCAGAUGGAAUUCCCGGUGUAGCGGUGGAGUGCGUAGAGAUCGGGAAGAACAUCAGUGGCGAAGGCGGUCUGCUGGGCCGUUGCUGACGCUGAGGCGCGACAGCGUGGGGAGCAAACAGG
rnacentral:rRNA from 1 species